GACGAACGCUGGCGGCGUGCUUAACACAUGCAAGUCGAACGGAGUGGCGAACGGGUGAGUAACACGUGGGUGUCCCGCCCUGCACUGCGGGACAAGCCGGGGAAACUGGGGCUAAUACCGGAUAGUGUGGGAUGGGUCCGCGGCCUUUCGGCUUGCUGGUGGGGUAUUGGCCUACCAAGGCGGCGCCGGGUAGCCGGCCGGAGGGGGAGGACGGCGCCCUUGGGACUGAGAGACGGACCAGACUGCUAGGGGAGGCAGCGGUGGGGAAUAUUGCCCAAUGGGCGGGCGCCUGAUGCAGCGACUGCGCGUGGGGGAUGUCGGCCUUCGGGUUGUAAACGCCUUUCACCAUCGACGCGGGAGAUGGAGAAGAAGCACCGGCUAACUACGUGCCAGCAGCCGCGGUAAUUC
rnacentral:rRNA from 1 species